rnacentral:rRNA from 1 species
GAGUGAACGGCUAAGGCGGGAGGCCUAACACAUGCAAGCCGAGCGGUAUAGGUAGCUUGCUACCUAGAGAGCGGCGCACGGGUGCGUAACGCGUAUGCAACUUGCCCUUAUCAACAGGAUAGCCCAGGGAAACUUGGAUUAAUACUGUAUAAUAGAAUUUAUGGCAUCAUAGAUUUUUGAAAGAUUUAUUGGAUAAGGAUAGGCAUGCGUAAGAUUAGUUAGUUGGUAAGGUAACGGCUUACCAAGACGAUGAUCUUUAGGGGUCCUGAGAGGGAGACUCCCCCACACUGGUACUGAGACACGGACCAG